AGAGUUUGAUCCUGGCUCAGAUUGAACGCUGGCGGCAUGCUUUACACAUGCAAGUCGAACGGGCUGCGGGGCAACCUGCAGUCAGUGGCGAACGGGUGAGUAAUGCAUCGGAACGUGUCCCGUAGUGGGGGAUAACGCCGCGAAAGCGGCGCUAAUACCGCAUACGCUCUGAGGAGGAAAGCAGGGGACCCGCGAGGGCCUUGUGCUAGGGGGGCGGCCGAUGUCCGAUUAGGUAGUUGGUGGGGUAAUGGCCCACCAAGCCGACGAUCGGUAGCUGGUCUGAGAGGAUGAUCAGCCACACUGGGACUGAGACACGGCCCAGACUCCUACGGGAGGCAGCAGUGGGGAAUUUUGGACAAUGGGGGCAACCCUGAUCCAGCCAUGCCGCGUGCGGGAAGAAGGCCUUCGGGUUGUAAACCGCUUUUAGCCGGGACGAAAGCUCCACUCCUAAUAGGGGUGGGGGUUGACGGUACCGGCGGAAUAAGCACCGGCUAACUACGUGCCAGCAGCCGCGGUAAUACGUAGGGUGCGAGCGUUAAUCGGAAUUACUGGGCGUAAAGCGUGCGCAGGCGGUUCGUUGUGUCGGCGGUGAAAGCCCCGGGCUCAACCUGGGAAUGGCCGUUGAAACUGGCGAACUGGAGUGUGGCAGAGGGGGGUGGAAUUCCGCGUGUAGCAGUGAAAUGCGUAGAGAUGCGGAGGAACACCGAUGGCGAAGGCAGCCCCCUGGGCUGACACUGACGCUCAGGCACGAAAGCGUGGGGAGCA
rnacentral:rRNA from 1 species